GAUGAACGUUGGCGGCGUGCCUAACACAUGCAAGUCGAACGAAAGUAGCAAUACUUUAGUGGCGCACGGGUGAGUAACACGUAGCUUGCCUCCCUCUCAGCGCGGGAUAACGACUCGAAAGAGUUGCUAAUACCGCAUAAGCUCACGGGUUAUAGAGACUUGUGAGAAAAGGCGAAAGUCACUGAGAGACGGGGCUGCGGCCCAUCAGCUAGUUGGCGCGGAAAGGCGCACCAAGGCGACGACGGGUAGGGGACCUGAGAGGGU
rnacentral:rRNA from 1 species